rfam:Solanum tuberosum cultivar DM 1-3 516 R44 scf00477_18, whole genome shotgun sequence.
GAUAACAAGUUGAUCUUCCCCAAAAGUUCACAUUGACAGAAAGGUUUGGCACCUCGAUGUCGGCUCUUCGCCACCUGGGGUUGUAGCAUGUUCCAAGGGUUGGGUUGUUCGCCCAUUAAAGCAGUACAUGAGCUGAGUUCAGAACGUCGUGUGAUAGUUC